GCCCUUUUACAACAUUUGAUCAAAUCAAAUUUCAACCAAAAUCUAAUCUACACAUUCCCAUGGUUCAAACAAAUUUGAAACGGCCUUUCACAUAGCUCAAUUAUCGUAGGCUUAGGUUCAUAAUCACCCUUUAAUUAAUUAACACUUUAACUAAUUAAAUUGAAUGCAACAUUUUCAUUUGGUUUUUGUAUCCAUAAGAUUGAUUUAAAUGGAGCUAAAUGAAAUGAAAAUCCAAUUCUCAUUUAAAGAGACAAAACAAUUUUGUUCUCUACCUAAUUUGGGCCAAUAUGCAAUAACCACAACUUUUGGGCUAUAUUGCAAAAACAAAAACUUUUGGGGUCACUUUGUAAAAUCACAAAAGUCCACUACUUCAUGAAAUUACACUAGAACCCAAAAUUUUAAUAAUGCAAAAACUUCAUUAAAGGAGCAAAACAAUUUGUCCUUUAGCGUUUUUGGACCUAAACGUAAAAACGUAAACUUUUGGGCCAAAGUGCAAAUACACAAAAGUAUCAAAACUUUAUGUAAUUGCAUAAAAGCCCCAAAAGUACUCCCACUUGAGGGAGGGCCGGUUUUAGGAGAGAGGGAGAGAAAAAAUUGAAGCCACAAAAUUUGGAAAUUUUUUCAACUAAGUCAUAAAGCCUUGCAAGUGGAAUUUGGUUGUUGUGAAUCAUAAAACCAUGCAUGUGGUGUGUAAGGUGUGUAAGUCUUACACACCCAUCACAAUUUCUAUCACCUUUCAAAAUAAAUGUUUUGGUGAUAGAAAAUUCACAUCAACCAACACAAAACAAAGACUUUAUGAAAUUAACCAAAACUUUGAAUCAAAACACCAAACUUUUUGUUCUUGGCUAAAAUGUCAAGAACAAUGAAGAACAUUCAUGAAAAACCCAUAAGAGCUCCAUGAACAUUUUUCACCCAAAAACAUCCCAAAACCAUUCAAACUUUAGGGAAAUAACAUAUAACCAAACUAGGGUACAUAGGGGUUCCAA
rnacentral:lncRNA from 1 species